UACGUAGGUGGCAAGCGUUGUCCGGAAUCAUUGGGCGUAAAGCGCGCGCAGGCGGUCCUUUAAGUCUGAUGUGAAAGCCCACGGCUCAACCGUGGAGGGUCAUUGGAAACUGGGGGACUUGAGUACAGAAGAGAAGAGUGGAAUUCCACGUGUAGCGGUGAAAUGCGUAGAGAUCCGGAGGAACACCGACGGCGUAGGCAGCGCCCUGGACGACACCUGACGCUGAGGCACGAAAGCUGGGGGAGCGAACAGG
rnacentral:rRNA from 1 species